UGUAGGAAUUUACCAUUCUAUCCCUAUAUACGCAUUCACACACACAUUAGUAACAAUUAAGGUCACUUUUGACCUUUCAAGCUUCGAGAUAUUUUGUCUGAAAAAUAAGACUUGUUAAUUUGUUUUAUUUAAACUCGAAUUCCCAAAGCUUUUCAAACCCCUAGCUUCCUGUUUUACAGAAAUGAAAAAAAAAAAGUUCAUCUUAUUCAAAUGCAAGACCCAAGUUUUGACAGAUCUUUACAGGUUUCGGUUAGCCACAUCAAACACAAAUACUCAUCCAAAGAUUACCAAAUCAGAGAGUAAAAAGAAAGUAAAAUAAAAUAGAGAGUACACACAAAGAUUUUAUAGAGGUUCACCACAAAAUGGGGAUACUUCCUUUUGAGCUCGCCUUAGAGGUGAUCAAGCUCGAUUUGCACUAAUAAAGAUGAACCAAUUACAAGAUCUUAUGAGAUUCCAGGCACAACGGAUCGACAGGGCUUUUUUCUACUCUCAACCUAAAACAAAAGACUAGCUCUCGAUAUCUCAGUUUUUUUUUCUGCCUUUUCCUUUGACUAUUUUUCUGUAUUUGAAAAGUAGUACAAUAUGUAUAUAUAUAGAGUAUUGAAACACGGUAUGUAGAUCUGGUUUUGACUGAGCUGUUCAAGUUGUUGUAACUGUAUUUGUUGAUCCUGUUUGAGCGGGUUGGGACUUAAUGAGAGGACUUUCUAUUUUUAACAAA